AUUGAACGCUGGCGGGAUGCUUUACACAUGCAAGUCGAGCGGCAGCGCGGCCUUCGGGCUGGCGGCGAGCGGCGAACGGGUGAGUAAUGCAUCGGAACAUGCCCAGUCGGGGGGGAUAACACUUCGAAAGAAGUGCUAAUACCGCAUACGUCCUGAGGGGGAAAGCGGGGGAUCGCAAGACCUCGCGCGAUUGGAGUGGCCGAUGUCAGAUUAGCUAGUUGGUGGGGUAAAGGCCUACCAAGGCGACGAUCUGUAGCUGGUCUGAGAGGAUGAUCAGCCACACUGGGACUGAGACACGGCCCAGACUCCUACGGGAGGCAGCAGUGGGGAAUUUUGGACAAUGGGGGCAACCCUGAUCCAGCCAUUCCGCGUGAGUGAAGAAGGCCUUCGGGUUGUAAAGCUCUUUCGGCAGGAACGAAACGGUGGGCUCUAACAUAGUCCGCUAAUGACGGUACCUGAAGAAGAAGCACCGGCUAACUACGUG
rnacentral:rRNA from 1 species